ensembl:lncRNA
AAUAUUUUCACCCCGUCACAUUCGUCGAUACGACGAGACCAAGGCGCAGCGUGAUUGGAAUACAUUCUUCUUUUAUUAAAACGAAGAACACUUAAACAAACUAACAAAAUGAACGUGAAGCUAUAAACAACUAGUGCUGACAUUUAACUACACAUAGAAAAUAACCCACAAAAUACCCAAGGAAUAUGGCUACCGAAAUAUGGUCCCCAAUCAGAGACAACAAUAAACAGCUGCCUCUGAUUGGGAACAAAUCUAGGCAACCAUAGACAUAUGAACACCUAGAUAUACAAAAAAACCUCGACAAUACAAAAACUACACAUACCACCCUCGUCACACCCUGACCCCGGACUGGGGACCGUUGCUAGAGUCCCUGGGCUGUGGCCCGUCGUUGGAGGUUCCGGACUGUGGCCCGUCGUUGGAGGUUCCGGACUGUGGCCCGUCGUUGGAGGUUCCGGACUGUGGCCCGUCGUUGGAGGUUCCGGACUGUGGCCCGUCGUUGGAGGUUCCGUCUGUGAACUGUCGACGAAAGCUCUGGACUGGGUACUGUCGCCGGUCGCUCUGGACUGC